CACGCCCACGUUCCAGCGAGCUCGGCGCGCGGCCGGGCUGGCGACGUGCGGGGCCGAACGGGCCGGCGAGCCACUCCGAGCCUCGUGCUUCUGCGGGCUCCGGGGUCGCUGGGGCUUCGUGGCCGGGGCGGGGGUCCCUGCGGGGUUCCCCCGCUCCCUCAUCUCCCUGGCGCUUUCUCGCCGCGUCCGGCGCGGCCUGCAGCUCAGCCGGAGACCAGGAAAGAGUGAGUGUGGGCGGGAGCGGGAUGGGACCGGCCGGGAGCCAGAGCUGGAUUUUAGAAACGUCCCCUGGGUGUGUGGCUGGCGGACGGGGCCACGAAGCUUCCACUCCGUUGUCAUGGAACCGAGCAGUGACACUUCAACCUGUUGUACGAGUCAGACUUUUAAACUCUGGGCCCCCUGGAUCCAGACACGGUCAGCCCCGCAUCCUCACAGCAAUGACAGAGGAAUCUGUGCAGCGUCCCAACCUAGGAAAUGACACACACACACACCCCUGGUGCGGCCCAGGACAGGCUUGUGAACGCCUCCUGAGCUCAGAAGGUGGCCAGCACUUUCUGAAAUAAAGUGAAAACAGAACAGCUUCAAAUCACUCUUGCUGUCCUGUGAGUAUCAGUAAAUACAAAGACAAAGACCCCUGCUUUAAACUGCUUCAGGACCGAAAAGACUGUCCUGAAAUUGCUGGAGAGCCUUGUUUUGUGUGUAAAGAUCGAAGAGCCAGCCCUCCAGGUGCAGUGGAUAGAAGACAAGUGCAGAGCCUCCCUGUCCCUAGAGCCAGAAGAAAACACACUCGCAGCACAUGAUUCAGCUCCGCGGUGGUUUGCAUGUGGCUGACCACGCCUGCCAUCCGAGCGGCAUCACCCCCUUUCUGUAGAGCCUCUCAGCCCUUCACCAGCACUGGCAGUCCGUCAGGGGAAAGAGAACAUGGCACUUCGGCCCCUUCUACCCCUGCUGUUCUCCCCUUUGGUUGAACAGCCUUCAUUCAGACCAAGCAUGGAGUAAGAGACCAAGAUGUCUUUUGUGGUCUGGAGCCCAGUCCACAGUAUCUCCGAGGAGGUAUGCCUGUAUUUCUAUCUCUAGAUGAUGGGAUAAUAGGGAAGAGAAAGGAGUGCCCACACUACCCAGAAAGGAAUGCAAGUGCUGAGUCAUCACUCUUCGGUAGGAAAGACACUCCGGCCAGCGGUGGGAAGAAGAAAUUCAUUCAUUAGACUGGGCUCCAGGUAACGAGCAAGAGCGGGCGGGCAGAAAGCGCGUGCCGACGACACACAAUGCGCGGUGGGUGAAAGGCCCCGUGUUAUCCAACCCGAGGGUCUGGACAGAUGAAGAGGCAACGCCGCGAGGACAAAAGCAGCUGGACCCGGGGUUGUCAGGGCAGCGCAGGGAGCGCUCGAAGGAGACUUCGUUAUCCCAGCAGCGCAAGAUGCUCCCGCGGCGGGAGGCAUCCCUGCGCGCCCCGAAGUAGCGGGCGCCGGGCGAGCGUUUCCGACAGCGUGGGCGGGGGCACGUGGGGGCCGAG